AACGUAGGAGGCGAGCGUUAUCCGGAUUUACUGGGUGUAAAGCGCGUGCAGGCGGUGGGCUAAGUUGGGUGUGAAAGCUCCUGGCUCAACUGGGAGAGGUCGCUCAAGACUGGCCGACUGGAGAGCAGUAAGGGAAGGUGGAAUUCCGGGUGUAGUGGUGAAAUGCGUAGAUAUCCGGAGGAACAUCAGUGGCGAAGGCGGCCUUCUGGACUGCUUCUGACGCUCAGACGCGAAAGCUAGGGGAGCAAACGGG
rnacentral:rRNA from 1 species